ensembl:processed_transcript
UAGGCCCAUGAACAUUUAUCCUGAGAGAUACAGUACAAACAGUAUCUAUAAAAGAGAUUACAAGCUGCGUGGAGCGAUUUCAAGUUACAACACAUAAUUAAACACACAUUUUUAAUUAUGAACACAUUUUAAAACACAUUUUUAAUUAAACUACACGAACAAGGCAAUUUUAAUUGCACUUGCAUGUUAUGAUUGAGGAAAAGGAAACUGGUUCAUAUGAACUGUAACAGUUACUGUCAAAGUCCUUGUCGAAGUCUGACAAAGUCCCAUAGAUGAUGGUCUCUGCUGCACAUUCAUUUACUAGCAAAUGGUUGACGAAUCCCGUGUUGCAGCAUAGGUUUUUGUAUUAAAAAUCUGAUUUACACUCCUUUUUUACUCAUCCUUUUCCUCCCUGUGUGUAAUUCUUUCCUCAUUUCCUCCAUGCAGGAUGUCUGUCUCACCAUUAAUGACAUUUCAGGUAGACAGGACGUUUUCUUGUGCAGUUGGAUGCUGGAACACAAAAAUAGCUUGGAUUUGCUGAAGUCAUAUAGAUGGACCAUGACAGGAAUAGUGCUGCUUGCCGUGAAGCUGGAGCAACAGAGGAUUCUGCUUGGUCUUAAAGUCUUCUUCGAACACUUUAAAACAUUGGUCACCAACACUGUUUCUGGAGAGCUACCUCCCUACAAAUUUUAGUUGCAAC